GCAGUCGAACGGCAGCGCGGGGCAACCUGGCGGCGAGUGGCGAACGGGUGAGUAAUAUAUCGGAACGUACCCAAGAGUGGGGGAUAACGUAGCGAAAGUUACGCUAAUACCGCAUACGAUCUAAGGAUGAAAGUGGGGGAUCGCAAGACCUCAUGCUCCUGGAGCGGCCGAUAUCUGAUUAGCUAGUUGGUGAGGUAAAGGCUCACCAAGGCGACGAUCAGUAGCUGGUCUGAGAGGACGACCAGCCACACUGGAACUGAGACACGGUCCAGACUCCUACGGGAGGCAGCAGUGGGGAAUUUUGGACAAUGGGCGCAAGCCUGAUCCAGCAAUGCCGCGUGAGUGAAGAAGGCCUUCGGGUUGUAAAGCUCUUUUGUCAGGGAAGAAACGGUAGAAGCUAAUAUCUCUUGCUAAUGACGGUACCUGAAGAAUAAGCACCGGCUAACUACGUGCCAGCAGCCGCGGUAAUACGUAGGGUGCAAGCGUUAAUCGGAAUUACUGGGCGUAAAGCGUGCGCAGGCGGUUUUGUAAGUCUGUCGUGAAAGCCCCGGGCUCAACCUGGGAAUUGCGAUGGAGACUGCAAGGCUUGAAUCUGGCAGAGGGGGGUAGAAUUCCACGUGUAGCAGUGAAAUGCGUAGAGAUGUGGAGGAACACCGAU
rnacentral:rRNA from 1 species